UACAGAGGUCUCAAGCGUUGUUCGGAUUCAUUGGGCGUAAAGGGUGCGUAGGCGGCGCGGUAAGUCGGGUGUGAAAUCUCGGAGCUUAACUCCGAAACUGCAUUCGAUACUGCCGUGCUUGAGGACUGGAGAGGAGACUGGAAUUUACGGUGUAGCGGUGAAAUGCGCAGAUAUCAGGAGGAACACCGGUGGCGAAGGCGGUGAUCUGGGCCGGUACUGACGCUGGAGGAGCGAAAGCGUGGGGAGCGAACAGG
rnacentral:rRNA from 1 species